GUGGGGAAUCUUCCGCAAUGGACGAAAGUCUGACGGAGCGACGCCGCGUGAGUGAAGAAGGCCUUCGGGUCGUAAAGCUCUGUCAUCAGGGACGAACGGCCGGUGGAGUGGAAAGCCACCGGAUUGACGGUACCUGAGAAGGAGGCCACGGCUAACUACGUGCCAGCAGCCGCGGUAAUACGUAGGUGGCAAGCGUUGUCCGGAAUUAUUGGGCGUAAAGCGCGCGCAGGUGGGUUCUUAAGUCCAUUUUGAAAGUUCGGAGCUCAACUCCGUGAUGGGAUGGAAACUGGGAUUCUUGAGUACCGGAGAGGAAAGCGGAAUUCCCCGUGUAGCGGUGAAAUGCGUAGAUAUGGGGAGGAACACCAGUGGCGAAGGCGGCUUUCUGGACGGUGUCUGACACUGAGGCGCGAAAGCUAGGGGAGCGAACGGGAUUAGAUACCCUGGUAGUCC
rnacentral:rRNA from 1 species